rfam:Bacterium M21 isolate M21 NODE_27_length_13260_cov_24.6998, whole genome shotgun sequence.
GGCGAGAUAGCUCAGUUGGUAGAGCAGGGGACUGAAAAUCCCUGUGUCGGCGGUUCGACUCCGCCUCUCGCCA